ensembl:lncRNA LINC01788 long intergenic non-protein coding RNA 1788
AUGUGUCUAGCCUUACGGAUAUUUGGUUACAAGGAAUGGGAAACAACUCAAGUCAAAUUAAACAAAAAUAGAAGGCAUCAAAUGCAACUCCUUGGACAAAUGUGUUUUGAGUUUCAAGUGAGCAAACCUUCAAUGUGUCUGCCAUUUUGGGGAAGAAGUUGUAACUUGGAGUGAAGGUAGAGGGAUUUAUUAUGAGAGCUUUGCUAGCAGACAUCUCAUUCUUUAAGACAAAAUCAACGCACAAACAUAAUUGGUCAAAGGAAGAAAGCUACAAAACCAAUUCAAUAACAUCUGAAGCCUGAGAGGAAAAUGAAAGACAAGAGGCUGUGGCUGCAGCUGUGUCUGCUGACAACAGGAUAAAAAUGGUUGCAUUGAGAGUGAGCUGCAUUUUCACCAGGCAGAGCAAACUGGGAGCUAAUGUGUUUCUUGGAAAUCAAAAGAGGACUCCAAGAAUAGAAGCUUUUAAGAGGACUGGCUGGAGAGUCAAAGAAGAUCCAUUAGCUUCUGGACCACUGAAAACCUAAGGGCUGAUGGUGGGGCAGGGUAAGUGGCCGGCAGCAGGGAGACAUUUUCUGUAUCUAGGAUGGUAUAGAAAAGACCCCCACUGGACAGAUCUACAAAGAACAACUAAAGAGUCUCAUGGUAGAACAGGUCAGCUCUGGACAUCAUUCAAAUCCAGGGGAGCCUCUUAUACUGGAUUGCAAUUGUGUUGGGCAUGUACAAUGGUGUUCUUUUUCUCUAAUGGCUUCUUUCUUCUGGUCAGUCUCUGGAAGGGGUGAAAGAGUGAGAAAUAGUAGCCAGCAAGUGUAGAAAGAGAUGUGGAAGAGAGAACGGGGAAACAGAAAUUGCAUUUCUCCCACGUUCCAAAUGUAGGUUAUCCGGGUUAAAUGUAGGCCCCACCUGACUAGGCAAAGAUUUUUUCCUUUGUUGUGAGUUUGAAAAGAACUAAACAUCAUACUGAAGUGGAAUUAUUGAAAUUGGAUAGACCCAGGUUCAAAUGUUGACUCAGUUAUGUAACAUCUUGUGAAUUUUGACAGGUUCCUUAACUCCACUGAGUCUGUUUUUAUACCCAUGAAAUGGAUGUAGGAUUGUUAUGAACAUUAAUUGAAAAAUUAUAUAUAAAAUAAGUGUCCAGCAUAGUUCCUGGCACAUACUAGUGCUUGAAAACUACCAAUCAACUUCAUCAAUUUGUGUUAUGCCCUGCAUGGGCACAUAUUUGUCCUGAUACUCUUCAAAAUGUAGAAGUACCCACAGAAAAAUUGUCUCAGUUCAAGCACAGUAUUAUUAAUAUUCUACUGAGUACUAAGUAUGGUCGUUAAUAGUCUAAUAUGAGGAAGUCAAAACAGUCUCUGGAAAAAGUCUUUCUGCAAGCUUUUUGAAGCUUCAGGGAUUGCUACAAAGACUGGAAAAUCGAUCUUGAACUCAGCCUUUUAAUUUCUUUUCAUGAUUACUGUUCUCAAAUGGAGAAUGCAAUUAAAAUUAAUGCUGUCUUAGUUCACUUGCCUCAAAAUAAACAUUGAUCAAAUUC